AAUUCCAAGAUUCCAGUGACUGAAGAAAGAUGGCUCCCUGCAAAGAAAGAGGAAGUUGGAAGGAAUGGCAGGUGGGGGAUGGAGGGAAGGGGAAUCUAAAAGAAAUACAGCAAAGUGUCACUCACCACCCAUUACUCACAGUUGUGUGGAAAAGAAAACUGCUUUAGCGUCCAUUCAGUCUU